rnacentral:misc_RNA from 1 species
AUUAUGCCACAAACAACAAGUGUUUCUGACAUAAUAUACA